ensembl:lncRNA
GGAAGAUGGCCGCACGCCAGCACGGCCGCGUCCUGCCGCCCUUCCAGAGGGACACGGGGGUGGGCUCGGGGCCGGGCCGGGGACUGCAGCGGGCAUCACCGGGAGGUUUGUUUGUGUUGUGUAACCAGGGCUCGGCACGCGCGUUGGGUAACGCCGCCGACAUUUCACCUACUUUCAAGCCACUGCUGCGACGAAUCCGUUUGGCCCCAAGUUGUUUUCGCCUCCAAGGAAAGUACGUUUGCACGGCGGAGCCUCCCCACCCUCUCGCCGUAAUUCCCCGGGGCGGACGAGGAGGGAGACGGGGAUUAAAGAGUCGCAGGCUGUGCUCCAAAAGCCACCUUCUUUACCGACUUCUGGAAUGGGAGCGCUCCUGCUGGACCCAUCAGCUUAGUCCAAUUAUUCUGUUGCCUUGUUUCUGAAACUGGCUCCAAUGGAUGCUUAUGGGGAAGAGGAACAUGCUGCUGAAAGCAGAUGGGUUGAGUAUGAUAAUGCUUUUGCCCAGAUUCCCCACUCUAACCAGGCUGGGGAAGACUAUGGAAACCAAAAGUGGCUUUAAGCACCUUUAACGCUUUAGUAAUUCUGGGGCUAGGCUGAGUCCAGCUGCUGACCACUGUGCUAGUGCCAAAGCCUACCCAAGACAGGGCAGACUGAGCGCUGGGCCUACAGAUCUGUGCCUGCAUAAACCACAUGAAGAGAAACCAUCCACCAAACGAAGACUGGAGAGCACGGCAGUGGGAUGAAAGGACUGCAGUAGUAAGAACUGAGGAUUUCUGGAGGCUUUUUUUAACUGCUGGUUAGAGAAUCAGCUGUGAUUUCAACAGCCACAUCAACCAAACUGGACUGAACCACCUCCAGCACAGAAAAAGCCUCAGGGAGGAGAUGAAAAGUGUAAUUAAUUAAUGCUUGUUAAAAUGCUUUGAGAC